rnacentral:lncRNA from 1 species
AGGCAAUUUGAUAUCAUAAUAGAGCACUGCAGACACAAUGCUGAGUGAAGAGGAGUAGAAAUGGGAAGACUUGGUUGAGCAGAAACUGAAUUCUUGAAAAGAGGAGAUGCUCGAUGAGGGCAUGGAUUCCUGAGGUCUGCCCCAAUACUACAAGACAAUUUGAUAUAAGAAAACACAGCAGAUACAAUGCUGAGUGAAGAAGAGUAGAAAUGAGAAGAUUGGUUGUGCAGAUACUGAGUUC